rnacentral:rRNA from 1 species
GAAGGUGGCAAGCGUUGUUCGGAAUCACUGGGCUUAAAGAGCACGUAGGCGGAGCAGAAAGUGUCUUGUGAAAGCCCCCGGCUUAACCGGGGAAUUGCUUGGCAAACUUCUGUUCUUGAGGCAAGUAGGGGUACAUGGAACUCUUAGUGGAGCGGUGGAAUGCGUAGAUAUUAAGAGGAACGCCAAUGGUGAAGACAGUGUACUGGGCUUGUCCUGACGCUGAGGUGCGAAAGCGUGGGGAGCGAACGGGGAUUAGAUACCCCGGUAGUCCACGCCGUAAACGAUGUCUACUAGGUUGUGGAGGUUCUGACACACUCACGACCCGGAGCAAAAGUGUUAAGUAGACCGCCUGGGGAGUACGGUCGCAAGGCUA